UACGUAGGGUGCAAGCGUUGUCCGGAAUUAUUGGGCGUAAAGAGCUCGUAGGCGGUCUGUCGCGUCGGCUGUGAAAUCCCGAGGCUCAACCUCGGGUCUGCAGUCGAUACGGGCAAACUAGAGUAUUGCAGGGGAGACUGGAAUUCCUGGUGUAGCGGUGAAAUGCGCAGAUAUCAGGAGGAACACCGGUAGCGAAGGCGGGUCUCUGGGCAAUAACUGACGCUGAGGAGCGAAAGCGUGGGGAGCGAACAGG
rnacentral:rRNA from 1 species